rnacentral:lncRNA from 1 species
CGGGAUCCCCAAGGGUAGGGGAAGUGCUUCUGCAAGACACUGCCAUCGGAAGGCAAAAGCAUCAAAACACGACUCAUCGUAGGAAGAAAAGCAGAGAGAAGAUGGGGAGGAGGGAGAAGCCACCCACGAUAAGAAAUUCAACUUUAUUGAUUGGAUGAUUCUUGAAGACAAAAAGGAAAAAAAAAUUACGAUGAAAUAAAAAUGCAAAGUCGGAGGUCUCAGACCUCAGGGGCAGG